GACGAACGCUGGCGGCGUGCUUAACACAUGCAAGUCGAACGGAAAGGCCCUGCUUUUGUGGGUUGCUCGAGUGGCGAACGGGUGAGUAACACGUGAGUAACCUGCCCUUGACUUUGGGAUAACUUCAGGAAACUGGGGCUAAUACCGGAUAUGAUCUCCUGCUGCAUGGUGGGCGUUGGUAAGUUUCGGCGGUUGGGGAUGGACUCGCGGCUUAUCCGCUUGUUGGUGGGGUAGUGGCUUACCAAGGCUUUGAAGGGUAGCCUGCCUGAGAGGGGGACCGGCGACAAUGGGACUGAGAGACGGCGCAGAAUCCAACGGGAGGCAGUAGUGGGGAACAUGGCGCAAUGGGCGGAAGUCAGUGGCAGCAGUGCCGCGUGCGGGAUGACGGCCUUUGGGUUGUAAACAGCUGUCGACUGUGACGAAGCGUGAGUGACGGUAAUGGGUAAAGAAGCACCGGCUAACUACGUG
rnacentral:rRNA from 1 species